rnacentral:lncRNA from 1 species
AGCCAAGCCGUGAGGCGUGCUAGAUAUUAGCAGUCCGCUUCUCCUGACCUUUACCUCGGAAAAGGACUAGAACAAAGUGUUUUUUUUGCGGGGAAGAACAAAGUUUGAGCUUCUUACGUCAAGCUCGGCAUGGUCGACCUAUCCAAGUCCGAAGGCUAUAUUAGACAGUUGAGCAAUUUAUGGGAUGGGGGGGAAAAUGAUACAACGAUAGGCAACAAAUGCUAAAAGUACCACUCAACACUAUAUGUGGUGGGGACUGCUUUUGUUCCAUUAUCUUGAUGAUAGUGGACUUAGACCGAAAGAUCAUAUGGAAAAAUAAGAAGCACAACUCAACAAUCGGUUCCACAACUUUCUUUAAUUAGUUGCAUGAACUUUUUUGGAGGAAUUUCACAAGGAAACUACCAGAUAAUCCUGUGAAAGGCCACUAACCAAUAGCUUUUUUCUCACCGAUAUAUGCUGAAAUCGAGCUCUGCAGCUUCUCUGAGGAACGCACAACCCAUAAUUUUAGGAAAUCUCUGGCUGUCUCUUUCCACCGUACUUUCCUUAUUAGCGGACCCUGCAACAUCGGAUGAAGCACCUUUUUAGUGUUCCUACCUUUCAUGGAUCUGUGUGCUCGAACCAUUUUUAUCUUCUCCAUCCAUAGGUGUGCACUGCCAUGGUUGGACCUCCAACAUAUCUGGUAGGUGGUAGCCUUAACGUUGUGAUAAAGAUAAUCUACCACCUGAGGCAGAAACAUCUUGUCAGAGUUGGUCCGGGUGAACAUUAACAUGUGUGAGGUGUUGGUGCUUCUCUUCAUCGAUUGCCUCUAUUGCAUAUCCGGCUUUAACUGCAUACUUUGGGUCCUCCUCCAAAGAGUCAUGGGGAAGGAAUAGAAAUCCGAGCUUCAACAAGGGGGAGUUGUCUAGGGAAGCAAAUGUGUCAUCAUAGCCAACGGAGCUUGUGGAUGAGGAUACGGGAACAACCAAAUUAUUGUACUCGGAUAGUGAGAUGUGACGCUGUAAAAACACUAGGCAGACUGGUUCCGGAAAUAUGCUUGAAAGCCUCAAGUAGUUUUCAAUAUCGUUGCUACUGCCUCCACCACAAGAAGAUUCAUUGCCUUUGUGCUCGUAUCCUUGACAACAUAAUGGAUCUUGACGGUACCAUCCAGUCAAAGAUUUGUGGACAUGAUUCCACAACCCUGGAUUCCAUUGUUCCAUUUGGGCAUUCGCAACCUCAGCUGGCACACAUGCGAAAUCUUGUGUUGGCAACUGGGUGAUCUCUUUGAUAGCGACAUCGGCCAUGGACUUGAAGUGAGGUGUCACCAGUUGUAAGCACUUGACUAUCGUUCCGAUUAUAUCUGUACUCUCUGAGAGACGCAAGAUGAAGCCGAGGCGAACAUUAUUCUUGGGCACCUUGCAAUCUUGGUACGUGAAGGACAACAGGGCCUCUAGUCCACGAUCCUUGAAACACAUUGGACCUAUACCGAAGCAGUGGUACUGGCCUCCUGGAUGCGAUGCCUCAUACAUUAAUGAUUCGCCUGAAAACAUAUGCCCAAUCAGAGGGUCGAAAAAGAGAUGCGGCCAACGUGGCAUUCCGCCGAGAUGCACAAAUCUCAUGAAUUCACUGGCACCAUCCGCGAGCCUCUCAAAUUUUCUGACAGCGGCAAUGACGUUGUGGCCAGCUGAGCAAUGAUCAUUGUUGUUGUUGCUGCCGACAAAAGAGGAGACUAGUGCACUGGUCGCAUGAGCGAUCCGUCUAGGAAACGAGGAUUGCCUUCCCAGAUGUUCCUUCUCGUCUUCUUCCUCAGAGAGCUUCCUGCAUCUGCGUGCUGCGUCAUUGCAGUCCCGGGCAGCGCACUUCAGUUUUUUUCGCCAGUGGAGCAGCGACACGUCGGUGAUCUGCCACUUGCCGGACGUCUCCAGUGCGGCCUCCAUUUUGAUGCGCGCCAUCUCCAACCUCUCCAGGCCAUCUCCUGCUGCUUCUUGGUCCGAUUUGUCAUCGUCUUUUCUAGUGGUGGUGGCAAUAUACCAGAAAAGACUAGGCUAACUGCUUCCCCAACAAUGGUAGAACUCAGGAUCUCGGUCAUUAAUUAUUGAUUCUAUACCUACCUGCUCGAGAAAUGGACUUCCCUUGCUGCUCUCCCCCGGCUCUCACUUCAAUUGCUUUUAUCACCACUCCUUCGGUGAAUCCGGUGAGCGGCUGAAACAUCAAAGUGCAGCUGUGCAUAAAUCUUUACAACACGGCAUCGCUGUCUGUCACUUUGCCAUCCGGACUCUCCACCGUAAGCCUCGUGAAAAACACCAUUAUGACUUCACUUACAGCAACCUCCGAAAUAUUAGGAGACAAGAAUUAGUCAAGGCACUAAUCUACUCGGACAUUAGGCACUUAGGAAUUAGCACAACACUAAGAUAAAGUAGAAUUGUCUGCUACUCCUCCUCAAUUCCAUGCAUAGUACAGUAUAUGUUUGUCUCUAAUGAUCUAAUCUCAGAGCAAAUUUAAAUUCAUCAUCGCUUAGUCUCGUGCCCUUCAUCGCCUCCAUAUAUGGAUCUAGGAGAGAGCAUGAAUAUGCCGAUCUUGGUCUGACUGAAGAAACAAAGCAUCCCCCUCCUCGGCAAUACCGAAUUAGAAUUCUCGCGCAUAUAUGCAUGCACGUCUGAGGAUUUUGGUGGAAUCGCGUUCGUUCAGUUUUGCGGCGCACGUGCAUGUCUCGUCCCAAAGAAUACACUGAACUGAGAGAGCAGAGGCGAGAAUCCAACGUACUUGUCAUAACAAACUCCUAGUCCUCCGGGAGCCAAAGAAAAAGCAUUGACCAUGUAAUGAGCCAGUGUGUGUAAGCAUAAAACUUGAGGAAGAACAGAUACAAUUUCUACUUGUCCAUCGAACGCGCGAGGACAACUUAUCCAUGGAUCUUGCCAUCAUAUGUUACGCUCUUGGUUUCAUUCACUCCUCAGGAUCACUGGAUCAGAUCGUUACAGGUAUUGGAACAUGAAGCAAAGACUGGGAACAUAAUCCGUGACAGAGAACAGGUGCCUCGUCCUUCUUUCCAACCUUGGUCUUGGGCCGGCCGUCCGUCCGGAACUCAAACGUGGGUUGGGCUUCGGUAUCCUCCUGGGCCGGCCAGCUGGUGCCUGCUGGGCUGUUGCGAUGACGCCCCACCGACGCUAGGGUCGGGACAUCAUAAUGUUUUUUUAUUCAUAAUAUGAUCUCAUAUAUCAUACUGUAUUAGUAAAUCCAGCGCCCGUGUGAAUUUUGCAUGCACUUUUUUUUUGCGCAUAAUUUUGCAUGCAUUUUUAACGGGACAGAUUAUUGAAAGCGUCAUCAUAGUAGCUACAUACAAAUGUAUACAUGACAAUCUAUUCGGAAAAAAAAGAGUAUAAAUGACAAUCUACGUAGUCGAAUCUCAGAAAUUCAAGGUUACGCCAGCGACUUGUUGGCGCUGUUGAACAGUCCAAGGUGCUUCUCGUCUCAGCCCAUGCCUUGGGGUUCUCGUUGAACAUGGGCCAUGUUACAUGGCGAAUAUGUACAUCUCGAGCGGCCCAGGCCUCUUGGGCGUGCCCUUCCGGACAUGAUUGACCGGGUUCUGAUUGUACGCCCGGCGGGUUAUCCAUAUGGUCCUACUCCAGUACUCCUGAUCAAUUCUUCUGAUCAAUUCUUGAUGCAAAGAAGGAAAUCAUUAGUUCCUAGAUGGAUUAGAGAGGAGGAUUUCUUGCAACAACUUGAUGAAAUAUGUAAAUUACUAGCACAAUACCCGUGUGUUGGUUCGGAGAAAAAAAAUUACAAGACAUGUUUGAAUAGAAUACUAUACUAUUAUUAAGUGUCCCUAACUGUAUAAAAUCAUGUUUAUCUAAAUGGUUUGUGCCAAAAUUAGUUAGAUGCAAAUAGCACAAAUACUCAUGUCCCGCAUCAUUUCCAUUGAAAUGAAACAAGCAUCAUUUUUUUGACGAAAAAAAAUGAAACAGCUAUCUAGCAGCUGUAAGUAUAGCUGUUACGGAUACAUCCCCAACCCGACAGGUUAACUUUCAGAAAAUUCAGAUCACUACUGUCGAAAUUUCAGAAAACCAGCUCUACAUGCAGCAAACAAAUAUAUAUGUCAUGUCACGCAUACAUCAAUUCAGAUCACAACUGAAAAAAUUAGCACAAAUUAAAGUACUAAUUGCAUGCAUCAAUUUUGCAGCUUUAUCAUAUGUCAUGGUACACGGUUGACAUCAAUCAGAAUUUGAUUGGAUACACGGGCGACUUGUCCGGGUUAAACAGCCCAAAGUGCUUCUCAGUCUCGGCUCCUGUCUUCCGGUUCUCGUUGAAGAUAGCGAACAAGUAGGCAUCGAUUGCCCCAGGUCUCUUAGGCGUUCCCCCACGGACAUGGUUGAUGAGGUUCUGGUUGUACGCUUGCGCGUUAGCGACGGUGGCGGCGGCGCCCCCGGCCGACGGCCACCCGGUCUCGGAGAUCACGAUGGGCACGCUCGACCCACCGGCCUUCUCCACGGCCGCGUACAGAGCGUCGACCAUGGCGUCGAAGAGGUUGGUGUAAGUAAGCCCGUUGUCGCGCACCGUGGAGGAGCUGGGCUUGAAGAGCGCGUAGUUGAGAUCGAUGCCCUUGGUGCCCGUGUAGGCGAAGUAAGGGUACACGUUGGCCAGCAAUGGCGCCCCCGUGCUGGCCAGGAUCUUGACGACCUGCGUCAUGUAGGCGUCCCUGAUGGCGCCUGUUGAGGGAGGCGAGGAGGCUGCGAGCACGUCCAUCCUGACCGCCGUGGACACCUUGAUGCCGCUCAGCCUGGCUGCCGAGAGCGCCGCGUUGAGGUUCCUCAUGGCCGGCACGAUGUUCUGCGUUGCGGAGCCGGUGAUCUCGUUGCCGACUGCGAUGUAGCGGAAGGCGACGCCGGGGUAGCGCUGGACGUUGAGCUUGACCCAGUCAGCGGCGACGGAGGCGGAGGAGGCGAUGCGGGGCACGUUCUCGUCGGCGAACCCCGUAGCACACGCCGAUGGAUUGAACCCCUGCAUAUGCAUGUCGUCGUCUCAUCAGUUAACUCACGGCGCAAAAUUAACUAUUAACCAGGCAAAUAAUAGUACUUCUUAGCAUGCAUAUGGUUCAUAUAGUUCAUAGUUUCAUACCAGUGAUGGAUGCAAAGACCCCGACGACGACCAGCAUGGCUGCAAGCACAGAGGUAGCACCAUCUUGCCGUGCCAUUUUUAUACGGAGAGCUGUAGUGCAGAUCCAGUUCCUUUUGCUCCUUGCAAACUUGUGUAUCUACCAAGCAGGCAACCAGGCCCUAUUUAAGUAUUUAUACAGGAUUCCACACUGGGCUGGGCCGCUUAGUUAAUUAGUAUUCCUAAUUUGGUUCCGCUUGAGAGGGCUCAGGAACAGCUACACUGAAAACCUGCAGUGAUCAAGCUAUAUUCAACUCAUUUUCGUAAACUGCAAACUGAGUGAGUAUGGUAAAGAAAGGGUCCUUAAUUUGUUUCAGUGAAAGGGAAACGGAACGGAGGAGAGAUGGCGGUAAAGCAGCCCAGGCCCAAUGCGCGCGGCCGUUUCUUCUUAUCGCUGCACCCGGUGGCAGCGCCGCGCGCGCGGGGCCGGAAAUCAUAGCUUCUUGGGCCGCAGGCCGCUGCCCGGUGCGACUUUACUAACUAUUGGCCCAUUUUCGGGGAAGCCGUCCUGAAAGCCCUAAACAACUUUGUUAUUGCCGUCGGCUUAUAAUACUAUGGCCCAAGAGAAUUAUCCGCUGCCGCCAGCUUGGAAUCUAGAAUCUGGGCUAGUCUAGGUCCACACAUCGGUCUUGGAGGAGGUUGUUCUGGCAUGUUUUUUUCCCUCAUUCAUCAUAUUAAAUUAUUUGCAAAUUCAGAUGUUAAUCGCACGUUUGUUUGCAUAUUUCUGAGGAUGAGAGGCUUGCCACACACGACGAAUACGGAUGGCAAGGAGUACCUGAAACCCGAUUACCCGACGGAUCCAGAUCCGAUUAGAUGCGAGAAAAUGUAAAUGGGAAAAUUUCGGACCCGUCGGGUCUGACGGGUCCCGGUCUGGCAGUGUCUUACCCCAACCCGAAAACCCGCGUACCCGGCCGACAAGCAAUCGUUGGCCCAGCAGGCCCAAUCCACGUCUCUCGAUCCCACGCACAUAAGACCCAGUGCAUAAGCCCGGUCAUACACAAAACAACUACCUACCAAUCCCAUUCCCACUUGCCACCACGAGUCCACAACUCCACGUCUCCACGAUCGGGAAUCUUCCCGAGCUCCUCUCGAUCCCGUGCUCUCUCACCGUCUCUCUCUACCCGAUGCCACCUCUCCCCCAAGUCUCCAUCACCUGUGCGCCGCCACUCGCCGGCGGACAGCCCGUCAGCGGCCAUACCCUCCCUGAGCUCCCCCCUCUCCCUCUCCUCCCUCCUCCCUCCACCCCUCCGACGCGACCUCAGAUCCGGCGCGCUAGGCAGGGACACAAGAGAGGAGGGAGGCGACGGCAACCUCGAGCAGUCGAGCCCUGGUUCGUCCUCGACGACGUCAAGCUGUGGUGAGGACUUGAUUGCUUUUUUUAUUUUGCUUCAGGGUUCUUUGUGUAAAAGUGAAGGACCUUCUUGUAAAUUCACUGGAACCAGUCGCCGGGUCGGGUAGACCCGCGGGUCUGGAAGACCCGAGUCAGGUCCGGGUUUUGUAUUGUCGGACCCGGACCCGGACCCGAACCCGAACCCGUCGGGUGCCAUCCAUAACGACGAAUGCUUAGUUUGAUAUUCUGGAAAAAGGUGGAAAAAAGUAAAAAGAAAAAAACAAGAAGAUUAAACGUUUAUCCGAACAAAAAAAAAUUGUGUCACCAAUGAGAUUUUGUUUCUGAAACCCAUUAAUCAAACUGGUUAAUACAAUCAAACUAAACUGCUUUGUCCGGAUUGUUUUACUUAGUUUUCAUACAUGAAAUAAAAUUUGAAGGAAUUCACAUGAAACCGGCAGAGAUUCCUGUGAAAUUAGGCCAUUAACCACUAGUUUUGUCCUGAUUGCUUCAGCCAUGCCAAAAUCGAGCUCCGCAACCUUUCCGAGGAACGCACCACCCAUAGUUUCAGGAAAUCUCUGGCUACAUGCUUCCACUCUGUUUUCCUUAUCUGUUGACCUUGUUGCAUCUGAUGAAACACCUUACCAACGUUCCUACGUUGUCGUGUGGAUCUGCGUGCUUCGACCAUUGUGCUUGACUUCUCAACACAUAGAUGUGCGCUGCCAUGAUUAGACCUCCAGCAUAUCUGGUAUGUGGUAGCAUCGGCGUUAUGAUAAAGAUAAUCUAUCGCCUUGGGCAUAAGCAUCUCGUCAAGUUGGUCAGGAUGAACAUUGACAUGUGUGAGGUGUUGUUGCUUCUCUCCGUUGAUCACCUCUAUCGCAGAGCCGGCCUCGCCUGCAGACUUCGGGUCAUCCUCCAUAGAAUCAUGAGGCAGGAUUAGAAUUCCGAGCUUCAAAGGGGGGAAAUUCUCCAGAGAAGCAGUCGCGUCAUCACAGCUAAUGGAGGUUGCAAUUGAUGAUACCGGCUGUAAGUUAUUGUACUCAGAGAGUGAGAUGUAACGCUGCAAAAACACUUGGCAAACUGGUUCUGGAAAUUUGUUUCUCCUACCGCUGCUAUUAUUGUUGACGCCAUUGACGAUGCCACAAGAAGGUGAGUCUUUGUGCUCGUAUCCUUGACAACAUAAUGGAUCCGGACGGAACCAUCUAGUCAAAGUUAUAUGGAUGUGAUUCCACAACCCUGGAUUCCAGUGUUCCUUUUGGGCAUUCAUAACCUCCCACGGUACACAUGAGAAAUCUUGAGUGGGUAAUUGGAUGAUCUCUUUGAUGGUGACAUCAGCCGUGGACUUGAAGUGAGGCGUCACCUGCCGCAAGCACUUGACUGCGGUUCCUAUUAUGUCUGUACUAUCGGAGAGUCGAAGCAUGAAAAAGAGACAAAAACUGUUCUUGGGCAUCUUAUGAUCUUGGUAUAUGAAUGACAUCAUGACCUCCAGUCCGCGAUCCUUAAAUUCCAUCGGCCGUAUGCCGAAGGAGCGUAGGCCCGCCGGAUGUGACACCCGAUGGAACAACAUUUUGCCAGCGAAUAAGUGCCCUACGAGAGGAUCAAAGAACAAAUGUGGUCGAUGAGGUGUGCCGCCGAGCUCCACAAACCUCAUGAAUUCGCCAGCACCAUUCGCAAGCCUCUCAAAUCUUCUGACAGAAGCGGCGAUGCUGCCACUAGCUGAGCAAUGAUCAAUAUCAUUGUUCUUGUUGCUGCCGACAAAAGAAGAGACGAAUGCCUUGGUCGCAUGAGCCAUCCGUAUAGGAAAAGAGGAUUGGCUUACCAACUGUUCCUUCUCGUCUUCUUCCUUCGAGAGCCUCCUGCAUGUGCGUGUCACGUCGUCGCAGUCCUCGGCAGCACGCUUCAAUUUCUUCCGCCAGUGGAGCAGCGACACGUCGGUGAUCUGCCACCUGCCGGAAAUCUCCAACGCAGCCUCCAUUUUGAUGCGCGCUAUCUCCAGCCUCUCCAGGCCAUCUUCUGCUGCUUCUUGGUCUGAUUUGUCUUCAUCUUUUGUAGCGUUGGUGGCAAUACCAGAAAAGACCAGGCUAACAGCUUCUCCAACGAUGGCAGAACUAACGAUCUCUGCCAUUAUUGAUUUUGAGUACUAGUAUAGAGGUGCGCUAGCUAGCUGCUAAAGAAAUGGGCUAGCCUUGCUGCUCUCCGCUGCUCUCAGUUCAACUGGUUUUAUUACUCCUCCUUGGGUGAAUUAAUCAGGUGAGCGACUGAUAUAUCAAAGCCUGAAGGUGCUUGACAGUUGACACUUUUCAAUCUUUAUACGAUACGAUACGACAUCGCUGUCGUCAUUUUGCGAUCCGAACUCCACCGUAAGCCUUAGUGAAAAAGACCAUCAUGGCUUUAUACUAGCUUACAACAACCUCCAAAAUAUUUGCAGACAAUUAGACAAUUAAGAACUCUAAUCUACUCUCAAAUUAGGCACUUAGGAACAAGCACAGCAAUAGAAUAACCCGGGUUCCCGUUCCUCGACCCGAACGACCCGGAUAUUCUUGGCAGUCGAUCAGGAGACAGCGAUCAGCCUCUGUCCGUCCAAAGCGUAGGCUAGAAACCAGCUCACAAGACACAGGCAGGCAAGCAGGACUGCAGGAGGGGCCACAGCCAUGCACGUGGAAGGGGCCGGGCUUGCCACGCGUAGUUGGCCAGUCAUGGGCGGCCGGAGGCGGGGAUACAUAACGAACUAUAGCCCUCCGAUCUGGGCCAGAACCGAAGCUUGGAUCUUGCCAUUACAAUGGUUUCUUAGUCAUGAUAGACUGUUAUUUACUUUGAUGCGUCAUUUUUUUUUCUUGCGUCUCAGAGUAAUUUUAUUGGUUGCAGUUGCAUGUCGAAGUCUUCUAGUAUACUUAUAUGAUAAGUACAGGUAGCAGAUGCCACAGAGGUACAACUCAACAAUGGUCCUGCAGCUCUCUUUAAUUUCCAUACAUGAAAGAACGUUCAAAGAAAAUUCAUGAGGAAACUAGCUACCAAAGGUUCCUAGUAUUAAAUUAGCUAUCAACCACAAAUUUUGUCAUUGCUUCAGCCAUCCAAAAUUGAGCUCUGCAACUGCAACCUCUCCGAGGAACGCACCACCGGUAAUUUCAGGAAAUCUCUGGCUACUAAGACACUUAUUAUGGAUCAGAUGGAGUAUAUGGUAUACAGGUAACGGAUGCGAGAGGUACAACUAAACAAAUGGUCCUGCAGCUCUCUUUAAUUUCCAUACAUGAAACAAAGUUUGAAGGAAAUUCACGGGGAAAGUAGAUAGCAUGGAUUCCUAUGAAAUUAGGCCAUUAACCACUAAUUUUGUCCUCAUUGUUUCAGCCACGCCAAAAUCGAGCUCCGCAACCUCUCAGAGCAACGCACAACCCAUAGCUUGAGAAAAUCUCUGGCUAUCUCCCUACACUGCCUUUUCCUUAUUUCCUGAUCCUGUUGCAUCUGACUAAACACCUUACCUAUGUUCCUAUGAUGUCGUGUGGAUCUACGUACUCCGACCAAUAUGCUUUUCUUCUCCACACAUAUAUGUGCGCUGCCAUGGUUAGACCUCCAACAUAUCUGGUAUGUGGUAGCCUCGUCAUUAUGAUAAAGAUAAUCUAUUGCUUUGGGCAUAAGCAUCUCGUCAAUUUGGUCCGGAUGAACAUCAACAUGUGAGAGGUGUUGUUGCUUCUCUCCGUUGAUCGCCUCUAUCGUAGAGCCGGACUCUCCUGCAGACUUUGGGUCCACUUCCAGAGAAUCAUGAGGCAGGAUUAGAAUCCCGAGCUUCAAAGGGGGGGAAUUCUCUAGAGAAGCAGACACAUCAUUAUAGCUACUGGUGGUUGCGGUUGAUGAUACAUGCCCGAGGUUAUUAUACUCAGAUAGAGAGAUGUGACGCUGCAAAAACACUUGGGAGACUGGUUCUGGAAAUAUGUUUGAAAGCCUCAAUUUGUUUCUACUACGACCAUUACUAUUGUUCACGCCAUUGCCGAUGCCAUAAGAAGGUGAGUUUCUGUGCUCAUAUCCUUGACAACAUAAUGGAUCUGGGCGGAACCAUCCGGUCAAAGUUAUACCCGGAUUCCAUUUUUCCUUCUGGGCAUACAUAACCUCUGAUGAUACACGGGAGAAAUCUUGUGUGGGCAACUGGGUGAUCUCUUUGAUGGCGUCAUCAGCCGUGGAUUUGAAGUGAGGUGUAACCAGUCGCAAGCACUUGACUAUGGUUCCUAUUAUGUCUGUGCUCUCAGAGAGUCGCAACAUGAACAUGAGGCGGAAAUUGUUUUCAAGCCUCUUAUGAUCUUCGUACAUGAAUGACAGCAUUACCUCCAGUCCACGAUCCUUGAAAUCCAUCGGCCGUAUGCCAAAAGAGCGACGUUGGCCUCCCGGAUGUGACACCCGAUACAAUAACAAUUCGCCUGCGAAGAUGUGCCCGACGAGAGGGUCAAAGAACAGAUGCGGUCGAUGGCGUGUUCCGCCGAGCUCCACAAACCUCAUGAAUUCACCAGCACCGUUCGCGAGCCUCUCAAAUCUUCUGACAGAGGCGACGAUGCUACCGCCAGCUGAGCAAUGAUCAUUGUCGUUGCUGCGACCAAAAAGGGAAGAGACGAAUGCCUUGGUCGCAUGAGCGACCCGUCUAGGAAACGAGGAUUGGCUUACCAACUGUUCCCUCUCAUCUUCUUCCUGAGAGAGUCGCCUGCAUUUGCGUGCUAUAUCGUCACAGUCCUGAGCUGCGCGCUUCAAUUUCUUCCGCCAGUGGAGCAGCGACACGUCGGUGAUAUGCCACUUGCCAGACGUCUCCAGCGCAGCCUCCAUUUUGAUGCGCGCCAUCUCUAGCCUCUCCAGGCCACCUUCCGUUGUUUCUUGAUCUGAUGUGUCCUCGUCUUUUCUGGUGGUGGUGGCAAUACCAGAAAAGACUAGGCUAACUGCUUCCCCAACAAUUGCAGAACUGACAAUGCCUGCCAUUAGUGAUUUUGAGAGUAGUAUACCUAGUAUUUUUGCAAGAGAGGCUGGCUGUAGGUGCGCUAGCUAGCUGCUCUAGAAAUGAACUAGCCUUGUUGCUCUCCCGUGGCUCUCCGAUCCCUUAAUAGUAUUAGCACUCCUUCGGGGAAUCAGGUGAGCAACUGAAACAUCAAAGCCUCAAGGCCACUAAUCUACUCGGAAAUUAGCCACUUAGGAAUUGGCUCUAUACACAGUAAGAUAAAGUAGAUUUCUGUCUGCUGCUCCUCGUCAAUUCCGUAGUUAUGAUAUGAGAUGCUUGUCUCGAAUCUCAAAGAAAAAUUUACAUUCUGCCCCAGGCCCGUUCGGACGGGAAACUCUUGGCCAAUGCUUAGGGAAAAACAGAAGUCCCUGAUCGGCCCAAACCAGAUAGAUGAACAAAAGGCCCAGAUCCUGUUUUUCCGGUCCAAACGUCAACAUAUAUACAGGCUUUUCUCCAUGAAUCUCAGCAAUAAAUCAGACGGUUCUCGGGUUUACAGCACAAGAAAGCCUGAGAAAUUCCUCUCUAAAACAAAGAGGCCGAGAAAUAGCAAAUCUGGAUAAAAUACAUACUACUUCCUCCGUUACAAAAUAAGUGGCAUGAAUUUGUAUAGAUUUGUAGAUUUUAUACAAAUCCACGCCACUUAUUUUGAGACGGAGGGAGUACAAGUUUACAGCACAACGGUAUCAAAACCACCCAUCUUGGAUCUUGCCAUCCUAAUGGUUGUUAAUCUCUCUUUUUUUUACAAAAUAAUCUCUUCUCUUCUUCAUAUGAUCUCAUAUAACCCAAUAAAUUCAGUUCCCGCUUUUAUUUUGCAUGCAUCUUACGGGAAAGCUUAUUGAAAAGAAAAGAAAAACGAUUAUAGACAUGGAAAAAUCUAUGUACGUACUUGAUCCGCACACUUCAGAAAGUCAUCGGGUAGGCCGGCGCCUUGUCCGGUCCCCCGUUGAACAGCCCGAAGUGCUUCUCGGUCUCAGCCCCUCCCUUGAGGUUCUCGUUGAACAUGGCGAAGAUGUACGUCUCGAGCGGCGUCCCGGGCCUCUUGGGCGUGCCGUUCCCGACAUGGCCGAUCAAGUUCUGGUUGUACGUCCUUGCGUUGUCGACGGUCGUCUCGGGGCCGCCCCCCGCCGACGGCCAGCCGCUCUCGGACACGACGAUCGGCACGGUCGGCCCGCCGCACUUCUCCAUGGCCGAGUACAUGGCGUCCACCAUGGCAUCAAAGAGGUUGGUGUAAGUUAACCCGUUGUCCGGCACGGAGGUAGAGCUAGGCUGGAAGAGCGCGAAGUUGAGGUCGAUGCUGCCCUGGCUGCCGGCGUAGGCGAAGUAGGGGUAGACGUUGGCCAGCAGCGGCGCGCCCGUGGACGCCAGGAGCCUGACCACCUCCGCCAUGUACGCGUCCUUGAACACCCCGCCGGAAGGCGGCGAGGAGGUGCCGAGCACGCUGGUCUUGACCGCCGUGGACACCUUGACGCCGCUGACGCCGGCCGCGGCGAGCGCCGCGUUGAGGUUGGUCAUGGCCGGGACGAUGCUGGCCGUGGCGUCCCCUUCCACCUCGUUGCCGGCCGCGAUGUACUUGAUCUUGACGCCCGGGACGAAGGGCUUGACGUUGGCGGCGACCCAGGCCGUGGCCGCGGCCGGGUCCGAUGCCAGCGCCGCCAGGCUGCCGCCCACGUCCAUGACGAGCUCGAUGCCCGUCCCGGAGAGCGCCUUGAGCGUUGCCUCGUCCGGGGCGUAGAUGCGCAUGCCGGCGAUGUUCUUGGAUUUGUAGAGCGCCACGACGUCCGCUGGCGACGGCAGGUUGUCGCCGUUCACCCCGUAGCACACGCCGAUGGAUCGCACCUCUGCCCGGUUCAAUUCCACAACAGUUAGUGCAAAUUAAGAGUAGAUUUCUCUUGAUUCAUGGGUGCUCUGCUAUGCUCACGCGCAUUGCUUGCUAAUUACCGGUGGGGAGGGAUGCGAGGAUUCCGGCGACGAGCAACGCCACGGCGAGCGCGGAGGCGCGUUGGCCAGAAGCUGCAGCCAUCUUGGGCGCCCGUUUGAUGCAGGUACUCGAUUAAUCCAGGUAUACAGUAGUGGAGGAGUAGUAGCUGGAAAACAGUUGAUGCACGUACUCGACUCUGCGAGCGGUUGCAGGGCACUAGCUAGGCAGGUGUCCUGCUAGUAAUUUCUUGCAUGAAUGUGUGCCCGAGCAGCGAAAGCACCCUGGAUAUAUAUAGUAGAGGAUUCCGGUCGAGAAUAGUUGGGCGAGUUGGUCGUGGCGAGCUGCUAUUCUGGGUCUCCUUUUUCCAAUCGCUGAUCUGCGGUCUCCGCGCGCGACGCGCGUUCUACUUCUGCUGCCCCUGCCGCCGCCGCGAUUCUCUCUGCAUCCCUUCCUGCAAUAUGGGCCUAGCCAGUCCGCCAGCCAAGAGCCCACGAGCAGUCCGCCCAGUUGGCCUGGCCCAAGUUUCUCCUGCACUCGCCGGUGGCGCACCGUGACCGAAGCUCGAUGCUGCCUCUGGACCUUCGAACCACGUCGGAGCCAGAAAAACGUUGUUGACGUAGCAGUCGGAAAAUCGCCGGUCGAAGCCAGAAGACGCCGGCGACAGUGAUAUGAGAAACAAAGCACUGUUCCGAAGAAGAAGGCGACGAAGAGGGUUGGACGAUCACCCCUGAUUCGGCCAGACGGAUCCGAGAAAACCUGACCUCACUAAAUCCACGAUGAGGUCGAAACUGACCGAGCUCGCCGAUCGGAAAAGAAACCCAAUAAACCAAGACACACAACUUAUCUGCAAAACACAAACACAAAUCUAGAUCAACCACUCCGGAAAAGCAGCGACCAACAUCACCGUAUUCCUCAACGCCACUGGCAAAAUCGCCGUCGACGAGAUAGACAAGGAGUUGGAAAAAAUUUAUUCUUAACCCGUACAACGCCGUCAUCACCAUUAUAGCGCCGCUGCCGAUUGCCCAAAUUCUAACUUUUUGGGGGUUAAAACGUGUGGCUUGCAAGGAGAGGAGGUAAAGACGUGUGGCGAUGUGAUCUAUUGUUUGGGUGGCGGCUAGGGCACGGAAGUCAGAAGCUAAAGCGGACCACGUAGUGCGCCGGUUUAUUGCACUACCCAGUUUAACUUUGAAGCAAACACAUGGUGGACGGACUUUAGAGCUGCAAAAUUGUGGCCCUCAGGGUACCCUUUGACUCUCCUUAGUUCAACCAAAUGAACUAAAAUUUUAAAAUGGCACAAUUUUUUAAAAAUCUAGUUCAUUUGUUUGAACUAAAGAGAGUCAAAAGAUACCUGAGAGUUACCAUGUUGCUCUGAGAGCAUCUUCAGCAGGGCCUCUAUCCUGUCUUUAGGGGCUGGAGGCAAAAAAAAAUCUUCAGCAGGGUCCCUAUUGAGGAUCCUGUUCUAGGGAGCUUCCUAGAUUUCCCCCUCAAGCCCCCAUUCCCAGGGACCCAAGGGAGCCCCUAUUACCUUCCACGUCAUAUUUUGCCUGUCUUCUUCCCACGCAUGCACUGCCAACUCUCCGCGCGCCGUCGAUUCUUGCCCCUGGCCGCCGAGCACCGCCGCCGCCCCGCGCCCUCCCUCCGCCGCUGCUCUACUCCCCGUGCAGUGGCGCUGCCCCGCCCCGCGCAUCGCCCUCGCUCCUGUUCAACUGCAUCGUCGGCCUGCGGCGCCCCCGCGCCCCUAUGCCUCCGACGACCUCCCCUGCCUCCGCGCCCCUCCGCCACGCCGCGCCCGGCGCCCUUGGCCGCGCCGCCUCCGUCGUCCAUGGCCGGCGCCCUCGGGGAAGAAGGCAACGGCACCACGUUGCUUCUCCUCGCGCACGACGAUGGAUUGGGAUCAAGGAGGAGGCAGAAGAAGAAGAAGAAAGAAAAAAUGAAAAAGAAAAGAAAAGGCAACUCUAUCUUUGACAAGUCGGUCCCGCAUGUCAUAAAUAGAAUAGGGACUGUGAAACAGGGAGCACUGUUGAAGACAAUUGUAUUUUUUAGGAUCCUAAAAUUUGAGAAGAGUUCCUGUAUGCAAUUUAGGGACCUUGUUUAUGGGCUACCGCCGAAGACGCUCUAACGGACUUAGAUUGGCGGCGCGAAUGUUGCAGUAGCGGGGAGAUACGAGGCGGUGUAAGGAUAAACUGUCUCCAUGGCGAUGGUGUCGUCCUCAUCGGUAACCUCGCGCACCUUGGUCAGCUCCAUGGAUUCGGGACAGAGCGUGUACACGCCGACCGUGCUCCACAGGAACAGCGGACCGCUCUCCUCGGCGACCCCGACGAUCUUCACCGGCGGCACGAAGUACGGGCCGAAUCCCCGCCUGAUCGACAGCGUCACCUCCGGCAGAACCUCGCUCAGAUCAACCGUGUUCCGUAGCACCCAAGCUUCAUCUUCCCGUGCCCACAGCCGCAGGACGAACCCCUGCACCCCGGCAAUGCCGAGCACGCCGCCGCCUUCCGCCGCCUUGAAGCUGAAGAGACGGACAUUAUUGGUGUCGACGUCGUCUGGCUGCUCGAACGUGGCCAGGCUCUGCUCCUCCGUGUCGUAGGCCGCCACGAGAUGGUAGUGCAGCGGCUGGUAGAACGUGCUGCCGAUGGCGGCGCCAGGAACAUGGCGGACCACGCAUGUCGGCGGGAGCUCCCCUGCAGUCGGGAUCCACCGGCCGGUUCGCGAGGAGAAGACGCUUCCUCGUAGGUUCCCUGAUUGCCUGUGAUUGAACAAGGCGGCAAUGCGGAACGGGCUGGCAUGGCACGGCGCGGCGAUCUGGCCGCCUUGGUCGACAUCAUCGCCGUGGCAGCCACAGAGCAGGGCGGCGCUGAAGCGGUGGUCUUCGCGGGGCGCGCCAUGGGCGGCGUUGAGCUCCCUGGCGAGGACGAGGCUGCGGUGGCCGGUCAUGGGGUGCCAGACCAGGAACCGGUUCUGCGCGCCGUGGCGGCAGUCCAGGGCGUUCGCAGGCCGUGCACAUCGAAGGAGAAGCUCGCGGGGCCGUGCAGGCCUGCGUGCACGGGCUCGAACCUGCGCGUGCUCGCGCCGAAGUUGUGGAAGAAGCCCAUGGUGACCGCCGGCCGGCCGCGGAGGAAGCCGGGGUCGCUCAGCACGCGGCGCCAGUCCCUGCAGACGGCGGAGGCGCGGGCCAGCACCUGAGGCUACGGCGGCAGGCGCUCCAGGAUCUCGAGGAUCACCUCGUCCGGCAGGCUCGAGCUGCUCAUGGCGAUCGAUCUAUCGAUGGCGUUCUUCCGGUUUAAUUUUGCGGCGCCCCUGUUUCGUGGUUUCGUCUCACAGAUUAAAUACACCGCGAGUUAAUUACAAAUCUUCUCGACUACAAACUCCAGACCAGUCCGGAUGCAAAAAAGAGGUCAAGUUUAAGAGCUCAAGGUCACACGGCUGUGCGUCGUCCCGUCUUCCAUCCGGAUCCAGGACACGACGGAGAAGGGCUUCUCGGUGAUCUCAACGAUCCUUGCUCCUCUUGGCCAGUCGCCGUAGCCGCCGUGCCCCGUGUGCCGCGCGAAACAGAGCCACAGUUCCUCGUAGGGGCAGCACCAGUCCAGCCCGUGGUUGUGCCCCACGAAGAUCGCCUGUCCAAAAACACACACAACCACAUCUUACACAUUCUCAAGAACAGGAGAAAUUCUGAAAUUUACUAGUAGUAGUAGUACUUUGACUGAUGGCCUCUUGGCGACGGCAUCCAUCAUGCCCCAUUCAGCUUCCUGCGGUGAUACAUCUUCCUUGUUGAUUGAUCCAACACAGGGCUUCCUUAUCCGGGUCUUGGCCUUGGGAGCCACCUUCGCGUAUGCCGUGCUGGGUAUGUGCCAGAAUAUCAGCUCAGGAAUCCUGCAGCGCUCCCAAAAUUUUAUCCCAGGGAAUUAUAUUGAUGCAGAGUAGGAAUUCAUUCAGGCUAUCAUCAACUUUCGACCUGCCAUCUGGGUUAAGGAAGUGGGACUGGGUCUGGAACCACUUGAGCUGCGCGCCGGAGAUGACUUCCGGGUAGGACCCGCCGCCGGAGUCGAGGAAGUACAUGAGCAGAGCCGGGUCAUCUUCUUCUUCCUCCUCGCGCGAGAGCACCUGCAGCACGUAGUUGGACACGCCGGGCCACAGCUCCUCGGGGCCGCUCGACGAGUGCGACAGCCCUUCGUUGGCGAUGUCAGCCGCCAUCAGCUCGAUCCGCGGCGUGCCGCGGAAGCUGCAGCACUCUGAAACCGACGCCGGCGGGCAUGGGCAGCGCAGCGGCGGGACGCCGGCGGGGGAGAACCACUCGGGCGGCCACUCGAAGGGCAUGUCGUCGUGGUUGCCGAAGACGGUGGCCCAUGGGAUCCCCCUGCGCCUGGCGGCGGACAGCGCCCUGUCCCAGUACAGGCUCGCGUUCCGGAUCGGCACGUUGUUCGCCGUCACCAGGUCGCCCAGGUACACCACGAAAUCUACCAGAAAUUCGAAAAAAUUCAAGAGAUUUUUGCCCUAAAACGCUUGCGGCGCAGUGAAAUCGGAAGGAGACGACAGAUAGACAAGAGACAAGCAACCGGACCUGGCUUCUCGGCGUCGAGGACGGCGGCCAUGACGCGGUCGGAGCCGGCGUCCUGGGCGGGGCCCCAGUCGGUCCAGGCGUUCUCGCCGUAAUGCAGGUCCGCGAAGAGCGCCGCCUUGAACCGGCCGCACGGCGGGAACCGCAGCGGCAGCGGCCGCCGGUGGUGCUCUGCCGGCCCCGAGGCUCCCCCCAGGGCCAGCGCAAGGAGGAGGGCCCCGGCUGCCGCCGCGAGGAGGUGCUGCCAGCGCCGCCGCAUCCGGUGCGUGCGUUCUCGGUGGCGAUCUAUCGAGCUGGGGAGAUUGUCAAGUGUGGCGGUGGCAGCUGGUCUUACUUUAAUCCGAAGUCUUGGGGAUUGGGGAAAAGUUUCAACUUCCAAGAAGAAAAGCAGAUUCUUCUUCUUGGUGCCAUGAAAUGCAGCUGCUCCUGCGUCACAAUCACAGACCAGGACAGACGUGGCACUUCUUCAUCUCCUGCCUCUCAUCGGGCCGCCGCUGAAGACGUAUCGUUGGACGUUGGUAAUGUUAGAUUAGGGAAAAAGGAAUGCACAAGAUUAUACUACUCCUACUCAGGUUUUUAUUAGACAGAGACACUUGUUGAGGUUUAUCAGCCAGGGGCUGGAAUAUGCGGAUGGAUUGUUGUCGUAGGCAGAGAAUAUGCUCGUGAUGCUGGUUGCAACCUCCGCGCCGCGGAGCUUAAAAUGCAUGGUCGUUAAUUAGUUUCCUUAACCUCAUUCACUGCAUAAAUGCCUGGCUAGAAUGUUAGUGACUCCGGACCAACUAAAUACUCCAUCUGUCUCAAAUGCAAGAUGCAGUACUAAAUUUUUUAUUGAUUGUCAAAAAAUAUAUUACAUUUUGACCAACCUUAUAUAACAUAAAAUUAACAACAUCCACACUUGUUUUAUUGGAGAACUCUUUGAAGCCACACAAGAAAAGGACGGUCACUAAAUUCUCCUUGCCUAUUUGGCUGAACUGAACCUAACUGCACGAAGGAGACUCUGGUGCAACGUACGGCAAAAACCAACAGCUUUGGAAUUUGCGAUACGAAAAGGGCCCCUGCACACCACGCCCCGGUACGCAGAAGCUGACGUUGUGCCCUCUACCAGGCAGCCUUUUUUUUUUUGAGCGGUCUACCAGGCAGCCUAUGAUGCGCGUCGGGAACGCGAGCCCGGUCGGUGUUUUGAUCCAGGACGAUGGUGACUGGGCCUGGGCUGAGAUGCACUUUCCUGGUCCAGGUUUUACUGGGCUUGGGUACGUACUGGGGCGUAUGAAGGCUCGUGGAUGUGUUCCAGCCACACGCGGUGCGGAUGGCGCUGAGAGCCCGGCGCCGCUCGUCGUAGCGCGACACCUCAAACGUGCCCGAAUACAGAGGCCGGCGGUCAUUGACGGGCCUGCUCGCCAUCAAGAGACCGUCCUCCCGGGCCGCCGCCGACUCAACGAGCACGGCCCAUACUCGUACCAAAAGUUAACCCCGACCAAAUUUGGACUUGCGUGUCCCCGACGAAAUCGAUGACCGAAUCCCCUCCCGAUCAGAUUACGGGUCUGUUAAUUUGAUCGAAGCUAAACAUAGCUACUCAUUAUAAUGUUCAGGUUACUUAUCAUACCGUGCAUACUCAUUCCCCAAUUAACACCGCGGUGUCUCUAAUUCUCAAUAGAUAUCAUAUCGCAGCUCCCACAAAACCCCAUGCAAAAACAUGUUCCCUCAAACACCAGCAACUUAUCAGAAGUUGUUCAAACUUUAGUACUUGACCAUUCAAAAUUUGUCUACUCCAACAAAUGUACUCACAGAACUAAGAAACCUCUGAGCUAACCUCUAACGAUAUACAAAUAGCUAGUUUUUUUCUUACCGGACUCAUUAGGAGAUAAUUAAGCAGCAUUGCCAGGUUCCAGAAAACAGAAAGAUAAGACGCAUUGUUUUUCACUUCCGGAGUUCAAAAUCAUCCAAGCAGCACACAAGAGCCUGAAGCUAACACUCUUCACGGCGAAUGAUGUAGACCACCAUCUUCAGCUGCUCCUCGUUCCUCAGCACCUCGAAUAGGCAGAGGUCACCCGCCUGCAGGUGGUUGUCGCGGGCGAAAGACGGCCAUCCUUUAGCGAUCCUCGUACGAUCAAUCGAGCGUCGCAGCUGGCAGGACCACGUCCUCCUCUUCCUCCCAUCCCGUUCAAGGAGCAAACUGAUUGCUCCCCUCCUUCCACGAACACCAGUUAGUCCCGUAGCAUACUUUUCUGCGAGGUACCGGGAUAUGUACUGCGAGCUAAAGACCUGUUUAUGUACAUACGCAGGAAGGAUGUUGGGAGUCAAAACAGAUGCAGAGAUGUGAUCCAAGGAUACAGGUACAGUUGACAAACUGAGUACAGGAAAACGUCUGUUUCUUCUGAACUUACUGGAGAGGGGCUGCCACGCUUGUGGACACAAACAUCGCUCUUGUUCAUCACCUUCCAGUAAAUGGGCAGUUCUGACUUAAUGGCUUCAAUUUUCUCCAUCAUUUUCUUCUCCUGCGCUCGCAAUAGACAGGAUGUGUCUAGCGGCAUGAAGCGAGCCUCAGAAGUUUCAUUGGAAUUGUCAGAGAAUACAUGCUCUCCAUGGCCCGAAGAUGAUAUCUCUUCACCUGGACAAGAUUUCCCAUGAAUCAGACAAACAAGAUGUGAUCUGAAAUGUGACGUAUGGAUUCUAGCGUUGGCAAUGAAUUGAAAAUAUGUGAUUUGAAAUGUGCCGUACCAUCGAUAGUUCGUUCUUCCUUAACACGGGCAGUCAAGGCCAUCUUUGUGCUUGCGCAACCGUGAUUUAACAGGAUGCGAGGCUGGGAAUCUUCCUCGGAACUGUCAGAGGAUCCAUGCUCUGCAUGGCCCCAAAAUGAUAUCUCUUCACCUGGACAAGAUUUCACAUGAAUCAAACAAAGAAGAUGUGAACUGAAAUGUGACAUAUGGAUCUGGCAUGGGCAAUGAAUUGAAAAUAUGUGAUUUGAAAUGUGCCGUACGCCCGUACCAUCGAUAGUUGGUUCUUCCUUAACACGGGGAGUCAAGGCCGUCUUUGUGCUUUCAUCGAUAAUUGGUUCUUCCUUAACACUGGCAGUCGAGGCCAUCUUUGUGCUUGCACAACCGUGAUUUAAGCCAAUAUCAGUACUUCCAUCAGGGGAGUGAUCAAUGCUUGCUUUGUGAAGUGGAUGGACCGUCACCGUAAAAAUGUGUCCCUUAACUUUUGUGAUUGGUUGCAGGAGGAAGAUAUCACCCUUUCGAACAUGAUUAUCGCGGACAAAGUUUCCAAUACUAAGGUCGCACCGACCUGCUUUAGACUCGCCAGAUGGCAGGAUGUAGAAUUUGCAGUUCCAAUGCUUGCUCUUCCCAGGCAGCUGGAGUAUGAUAGUUGUAUUUUUGGGUGGGAAGUACUCGCGUGCAUAAUCCUUCCGUAUUAUCUAAUUGAAAAAGGGGCAAAAUGAGCUGUUUUAUCUGAUAGCUAAAGUACUCAAGACUGUCACAAAGGCUAGGUUGUUGUCAUACACAUGACUUCAACUGUAAAAUAGAGCAACCAUACUGCCGAUUCAGUAACGUAUAAAAGUAUUCUUCAGAGGUUUGCGACAGUUAUGAUCAGAACACCCACUUCCCCAACAAUAUCAAAAGGAGAAAAUGUUUGUUCCUGCAGGAAAUUAAUAGCUCACACGAAAUUUGCAUGGUAAGACUAACGUACCAGAGUAAAGUUAUGAUUUACAUUGCUCUUCUUCAUCAGUACAACAAGCACUGGGAUUUCAGGUUUAAUUUUCCCGACAAGUGCAUGUAAUUUUGUCAGCUGUUCUUCUGUAAGAUCGCACAGCCCUGAUAAGACAUAAUAUUUUGAAAGCACUUGAAGAUCAUCUGACUCCAUAGAGUCAUCUAGAGAUGGAUUGUUUUCUGCUGCAAAAGAAUUUCUAGCAUAAGAGAGCAUAUGGUGGUGGGUGACUGAUUACUCUUAGUACACUACUUAACCUGGCAGUUCCUUAGAAGAAUAUGCUGUUGAAUCUGAUCCCUCGCCUGCUGAUGACUGAGAAGCACUAUCACUACCCAUCGAGUCACGGCAGGGGACUUUCUCCUUACCAUUGGAAUCAAAUAUUGUAACCUCAAAUCGGGAGGUUCCACGGUAUCGAAACAUCAAACAAAAAUUUUCUUCUAUUUGAUUGGCAUCCACAAAUGCCCUCCAUCCAGACUGGAGGAAUGUUGUGUUCAUCUUCACAGUAACUCCAACAUCAUAUAUGUUACCAUUAGGGGCUUCUAGUUUGAUGCUCCCCACGAUAUUUCUUCCAAAAUGGUUUAUAACCCAUUCAGGUAUAACCUGUCGCAAGCAGCAAUGGUGCAAAGAAAAAUUGAGGCCAAACCAAAAAAAAUCCUAAAAGGUUGAGGGAACUCACUGAACUAGGAAAAAUAUAGAGAGCUAACCAUGCUAUGCAUAUAAUUGCCAUUUAUAUGCCUGAUAAAUCGUAUCUUACUCUGGCAGCAUCCGCAAGGAUUUCUCAUCUUAGAGACUUCCUAUAAAACGCAUCAUAAGAAUGUCAGAUGGCGUUAUUCAAACCUCUGUUUGUGUAACUGGUGAGAUGCCAUAAGAUCUUUCAAGACUACUAGUAAUGAUGACAUAAAAUCCUCGUUUCAAUUCUAAUACCACCCGAACACCUGAAUUAGAGGCAGGGGAAUACCAAUUCCGAAUUCCACCUCUGAAUAUCUACAACCAAACGCACUUCAUAAAAUCUUCCAAGAGUAUGGAUUUUUUUUUGUCUAGAAACAACAAUAACAACAAAGAAAUCUCAGCAAAUGCUGCCCUGAGCCCCUGAGGUCUGCUUAUUCAUUGUCGAAAGAAAGAAAUCAAAGCAGAAGAUGAAAAGACACAUGGUUAAAUUGCAAACGAAGAGUGAGAUUUGUAAGAAGAACCUUACCAAGGUGCUGUAGGAUUCAGGAUGUUUCAAGAGGAAAGGGAUCGAGCAUCCAAAGCUUACUUAUGAAGGGAGCUCCAAGGGACGGAAAGGGCAGCAACAAAGGCCAGACUAGAGGCAAUGGUCAUUCAUGAAGGGUAGCAACACACCUAUAAAGUGAAGUAUUUCUCACGGAGACUUUUCACAUUCCAAGACAUUAACACCUAGUGCUGUGAUCUGUGGAAGACGUUGGGUCGUCCAUCUUUUUGUUGGACUUGUUCAUUGUUGGUUGUCAGGGUAUCUCCAAUGUUAGUUGAUACUAAAUUUCUUCUCUGUCCUUUUCAAUAUGUUUUCUUGUUUUUUUAUUAAUUUCUUUUUCUUGAUGGACCCACAUGUCAUCCUCUUUUCUGUCUUGGUAUCCGUGUAGUACAUGUUCUUCAAGUAAAGAGGAAAAGGUACCUGCAUGAGGAAGAGAAAACCGCUGCCUCAGGAAGGUACCAUAAAUCAAUUCAAGCAAGCAUGUAUACGGAGAGGCAUUUUGGUCCUGCAACUGCCACAAGUGCAAAUGCGCCCCUUAAAUCUGGACGAAGCAGUUCAAAAUAUAUGCCCCUUAAAACCGGACGGAGGGAGUAGUUGUGGUGUCCAUCUCUCUUCCCAGGUUUGCGUUUCGAGUUGCAGUAGCAACAACUGCAUUAACUGGGGUCAGUGAAGACCGGAAGAAAAAUAAUCCUACUACUACUCCAUUGUUAACAGGUUAGCAUGGUCUGGUUGACAAGUUUGGCAUUGCUGCGAUGCCAACUGAAUGAACUAAAUAGAUGUAAACAGUAGUAAUAAUACUUUUGGUUAUGGACCUUGAGGAGAGGAAAGCGAGGAGCUUGAAGGCGCGAUGUUGGGCGCGAAUCGGCUGAUGUCGUUGUAGCCUGCAGGAACACAAGCUCCCCCGCAGCGUGCGCCGGCGCACGACUCUCCCUCACGGCAUCCUUGAUGUCCCUCGCACAGCCGCAUUCGUAGUCGCUGGGGGAGGCCAUCGGUGGGCAGGGAAACCGCCGGCGUCGAGGUGGGCGCGGGAUCCCGGCGGUCGAUCCAAGCGGGGGGGAGCUACGACGGAGGCGGGGGAGAGGCAACACUCUGGGCCUCUUAGGUGUGCGCGUGGAUUUAGGCGGCGCCAGGUGGAAAGCUUGUGGCGCCGCCGUCGUGUGUUCAGCGUCCGGUGAGCCGAGCGCGACGGAGGGGAGAGGAGGAUGGCGUUGUGCGAAGGUGCGAGCCCAUUUUAUUUUCUUUCGUUUCAUUUUGUUUUAUUUCGAGAUAAAGAAAAGCCCAUUCGAAAAUUAGUACUGGUCCUACUGGAGCGAUCAAAGUGUACUCUACUGUCUCUAUUUCUUAACGUACUCCGUAGUAUAUUUGCUCAAAGUAUAUUUUUGGUUGUUCUAAAUUAAACUUUAUUAACCUUGACUAAAUUACUAGAAAAGCCACCAACCCUGCUACAUGCGUGAACAUUUCGCGCCCAAAACCUCGUCUGCGUGUUGACGCAUCCGCACGAACACGGUUUACAGGCUAAACCUAAAAUUAACCUACCCUGUACAAGAAUGGCAAGUUAUAGAUGUGUUUGCUACAUUUUACAAGUAGAUGAACCAAACUGCUCUUGUCACUAAAAUUGAUAUGCUUGGGGUGCUUUUUACUCGGGAUUAGUAGAACACCGUGCAAACCGUACAAUUGGAAAAAUUUAAGGACUAUCUGGAUCAAAGGAUUAAUCAUAAAACGUAGGAAUAUGAUACAAUGGCAUAUUGAAUAAUGCAUGAAUUGAAACCACAAUGGCAUAUUGAAUCAGUGAUAGAGAUUGUUUGGCUGUACCGUAGGAAAAAUGUAGGAAAUUCGAAUUCGUACAGGCCAUUAGUGCAUGGCAUCGUUGUCCUGGUCACAAAUGAUAAUUUUUUUUUUCCAAUAAAUCAAACAUCAUGCCGUAAGUCCUAUAGGAUUGGAGAGUAGAAAAGCAAACCUUAGAAAAUUUUGAAGAUCCAUUCCUUUGAAUCAAAGAGCCUCCAUGUAAGAAAUCCAGUGAACUAAAAUCUCGUAACAAUCCUUUGGAAAUCCUUCAGUCCAAAGAGGCCCUUAGGUUUAAGACAACAAUUCAUCCGUUCGAUUGAUGCAAGAGUUCCCCUUUAUCAAAAAAAAAGAAAGAUCCAAGAGUUCCCCUAUUCAUUUUGUUCGAUCGACUAAUAUUCCACGUUCGUCAUAGGGCGGCAGAUCAAACACAUACACUGAUACACAGAUCGAUCGAUCAGGGCUUUAUUUCAAUUUCAUUUCGUUCUCAAUACAAAGUACAUCUAAAUGAUCUAAUAAUAUUUACGAAACCCAUGCUAUACGCACAACUAGUAAUUUGUGUGGUUCUUGGCUCCUUUCUUCAGGGGAGCGUGCUGGCGUUGCUUUGCCGCUGGCUGCUGAACCCCAUGGAAACUGAUGGGGCAAACCGGCGCUUUGCUGGGGUAAAACAGCCCAAAGUGCCUCUCCGUCUCAUCCCCGGGCUUCAGGUUCUCGUUGAACAUGGAGAAAAUAUACGCCUCCACGGGCGCCCCAGGCCUCUUGGGCGUCCCCUUGCCAACAUGGUCAAUCAAGCCCUGGUUAUAAGCCCUGGCAUUCUCCACGGUCGCCCCGAACCCGCCCGCCGACGGCCAGCCGGACUCGGACACGACGACUCUCACGGCGGGCUCCCCGGCCUUCUCCAGCGCCGAGUACAACGCGUCCACCAUGGCGUCGAACAAGGUCGUGUACACCAGCCCGCUCCCGUCGUCCCUCACCGGCGUGCUCCCGGGCUGGAACGUGGCGUAGCUGAGAGCAAUGUCCUUGGGAUUGUCCCUGUAGGCGAAGUACGGGUACACGUCGGCCAGCAGCGGCGCGCCCGUGGACGCCAGGAACCCCGCCAGCGGCACCAUGGUCUCGGCGUCCUUGAACGCGCCCUUGGACGGGGGGAAAGUGUCCACUAGCGCGUCGAACCGCAGCGCCGUGGACACCUUGAUGCCGCCCGCGGCGCGGGCGCCCAGAGCGCCCGCGAGAGCGAAGUGGAGGCUUUUCAUGGCCGGCAGGAUGCUGGACUUGAAGGCCGGGUCGCCCGUGAUCUCGUUGCCGACGGUGAUGUAGGAGAUGUUGACGGAGGGGUAGUAUGGCUGCACGUUGGUGGCGACCCAGGAGGCCGCGUAGCCCGGUUUGGAUGCCAGGAGCGGCACGUCGGCGUUCGCGGUGCCGAGGAUCACGGCGAUGCCGGAGCCGCGGAGCGCGUCCAGGAGCUCGGGUUGGGGGUUGUAGAAGCGCAUUGCGGUGAUGCCGUUGGACUUGUAGAGCUGCACCACGUCGUGGGCUGGUGGGAGGUCGCUGCCGAUCACGCCGUUGCACGCGCCGAUGGACUCCACGCCUGGCAUUAGCAUAUAUAUGCAAUUAGUAUAGUCCAGAUUUUGCUUGGAUGGAUAUUUAUGAUAGAUGAUUGCGGUACAAUGUAAAACUACCCAAAAUGUGUAUCAUAUCGGAUGGUACACAUUGAUUGGUCAUUUUCAGUUUUUUUUUCUUUCUUUCUCUUUUUUUUAGAGGUUUUUCCUUCGUGUCUCUUACACUUUGGGAGCGAUAACAAAUGUGGCUUCUUCGUCAAAAUAAAACGCCCAAUGAUAUGCAAUUGUUUUACGAUCCAUGCUCUGCUUCUUUAGUGGAGUAGUAGAUGUAUAAAGAAAAAAAUUUGACGAUUUUUCUUCUCUGUAGGUAAUUAGGCUGCCGAAUUGUCUAACGUUCACAAAAUUAAACAGCCAAAUCGCUAAUGGCGUCUGGAUACACCCAAGGAGGCGAUAGUCUAGAUGCACUCCCGUGGUGAGACAUUAAUUAGAGCUGUUCUGCAAUCGACCUGCAUCUUCAAGCUGUUCGAUUCUGAUCAUAAAUUUAUGUAUAACGACAUAUAAUUCAUUACCAAAAUUCUCUCUUUCUUCAGCAACAAAUCUAUCAAGAAAAGAAAGAUAUAUAAACUUGCAUGACUUAAGUUAAGUCAGUUAACAGAGAAUUCUCCACGGUUAUAAAGGACCAUCACACGCGUCGUUGUUGUUUCCAAGAAUCCAAUAGGACCUCUCAAAAAAAAAUCUAUAGGAAGAAAUACCUAGCCUUUGAAACGGGCCUAAACAUACCUGCAGGAACGGAGGCGAUGAGAACUCCAACGAGUAGCAGAGCCGAUGCAAGACGAAGCAUCGGAGCAGCAAGGCCGCCUUGCUCGCCGGAUCCGGACAAGAUCAUCGUCAUAUCCGACGGCCCUGGAUUAUCGAUGUAUCUACAAGAGCUGAUAUGGGCCGGCCGGCAGGGGCACCUGUAUUUAUGUUCGUGGCCAGCCUGCGAAAUGACGCCAGGGUCCAACGACACCAGUGCAAGGGCACCGGAUUCUACAGGGUCAAACCUGUCAUUGUUUCUGGUUUUGCUUUUAUGGAUGGCUGAUCUCUCCCUUACCGUAUACAGGAGUAGUUUGAUCUAUGGUAUCAAAGGGGAUACGACCCUCCUUCUGCCUUAAAUGGAAAUCGGCAGCUGGCGUGCCGUAUUUAUUCUCGAAUCAAUGACCAUGAAUUCUUACUUAGACUUGAAUUUGGAUAAUCAGAUGUGACACCCCAGCAUUCAUUUCCCAUGCCACCAUAAGAGAACUGGACAUAUGAGAACUUACCAAAUGGAAGAGCAUGUGACCAUAUUUGUUAAGGGGUAGCUUUUGGCCACUUCGGCAAGGUUUGGAGGUUGUGGUCCCUUUAAGAUCAAGAUCUUUCUUUGGCAAAUUAUUUGUGAUCGUCUCUCGACUGACUAACGAUCACAUCCGCAACUGGCACGGGCCGAGUGACGAAAAAUGCAUGUUCAAAACUUCCCUUUUUCUGCAGAUAUAAGAGCCGGUGACCAGGAGGAGAGGAGCUGGUAUUCCGACAACUAAAUUAAACUUCUUGUCCGUUUCGAGCUUUAUUAAUUUAUAUCCAUUCAAUCAUUCCUUUCCUCUAAAGAGUAUGUGACCAUUAUGCAUUUCCUUUUAAAUCUGGUGCCCUGGUAAGAUAUCACCAGAUUAAUCAAAAGAUGUGCUGAUUAACUUCCAUCGUGGUUGUCAUUGAGUUGGAUCCAUCCAUGUGUGGAGGUGGAUUUGAAUAUGUUGCUGACUCUUAGUUUUCUUCUCUUUCAUAUUUCUCUUUCUUUCUCAUUAGCAAUUUUCAAAUAAGAGUCAAUUAAGGUUCAACCUUUGCAAAUGCCCAAACCAUGUUUGUGGCGUGCAAAUUUGGAAUUAGAGGUCCACACCUCAUAACCUAUCCUUUUCUUUUAAUGUAGCAUCGACUGUUCCUUUUUUUACUGUACAUCGAGUGUUCCUUACUACCCGGUAUACCACAAAUGAUACAUGGUAAAAUUCGUAAAUGUGACUCAAAAGUUCCAAUGCUCGAGGGAUCCAUUAACGAUGUAUAAGUUACUUUUGUAAAAAAAUUGUUUAAGUUACAGAAAAGUCCCUAGAAGUUACACAAGAAAUACAUAAGUACAUUUGAUACAACAACUACUGAAGCUAGAGUAUACAUCCAGAGGGCAGAAAUUCACACCUUCUGGCAUCACAAUAUAUAUCUCUGCCUGAUGAUGGCAAUCAACCCUGACUGACCACCAACCCCUUAUCGGCACCAGACCACAUAAAUGACAAAUUAGCUACUUAAAUGGUGCCCUAACUGUACACACAGUUUCUCUCCAAAUUUCAAUAUUUACUUUUUGUCGAUUUGGUGAUGAGAAUUUUAUAGAGAACCAAUUUUCCAAUGGCCUUCGUUUGUCAUCUUUCAAAUAAUUGGCUUCUCAUGGUACUGCAGAUGUCAUCUGCCACAGCAACAUUUUCAAGUAGGUAUUUCUCAGCUGCUGCCUUGUCUGUCAGGAACUCACCAUUGAUCCAAUACCCACACCCUUCCUUCACAAUAACUCCAUGAGAAGAAGCCAUUUCCAGAAUCUCCGAUUCGUAGGCGAUUCCCUUCCCAAACGUAAUGUCGAUGCCAGCUUCCUUCAGAACUGCUGGAGCUAAUUUGUUCUUGAUGAUUUGCACUGAUAUGCCAAUGCCGGUAGCCUGAAAAGGCAGAAUUUGUUACCAUCAUAGCAAGGUUGGAAUGUACCUGAUGGUUAAGCUAAAGUCAUGGAUACCUUAAGCCUUUAGUAGAACAAUGUGCAUUGGUCUCUCUAGUGCAAUCAGCUAAGGUUAAGGGGGAAACAGCAACUAAGAAUCGAGAAAAACUAUGUGCAAUACCUGGUCAUCAGUGUAGCGCAGUUCCUUUCUCGAAGUCCUCACUCUGAUUGCUGCAUAGAACCCUAAUGCGUUGCCACCACAGGCCACCUCCUUGUAAAGCCCAGAAAAUUCUUUUGAGCUCCGCCUUGUUCUGACCUAUAAAUAUAACUAAUUAAUAGUUUCGUGGAUAUGAUUCAAUGCAACAACAUCAAGAAACACAAUGAACUUCAGACCUGAUUCACAAAAAUAAUAAGUGUUUCUGACCGACUUAAUGUGUAUUGAAUUUUCGAAGUGCUCGAGUCAUUAAACGGGAUUGCGUUUCUCCAUAGUUCGUGUGCAUUUCGCCUUCAAGCUCACAUUUGGGAAUAAGUCCUGCUACCUGUCAUAAAUCCAUUACAAAAGGUAAACAAAAUAUAAUAUAAUUUAUAUAACAAAUGCAUAAAGUUGAUGGAGCAUUGUAUAUUUGAAUAAAAAAAUAUCUAAAACUGAAAGAGCAUAUCCUGUCCCGACAAUGUCAAACGCAGCGUGCUUAAGAUGCAGAUUAACAGUUCUUCCAAUUAUAAUGCACUGCUCUUAAAUCAUUGAUUUAAUAAUCCAACUAUCAGACAAAAUAACUACUGACGCAUCUACAUUUUUUUUGUAUAACUAGGAAAUGUGUGGUCUUAAAAGUUCAGUUAUAACAAAGUAAACAUAAUAAGCAACAAAAGAGAACCGAAAGAUUCAUGGAAAUGGUGUAGUGAAGUAACGUACGCUAUCCACAACAACAACAUCAAUAGAUCCACCAACAAGAGUGUUCACUAUGCUUAAAGAGUUUUCAGCAGAAUCAGGUUGAGCUAUUAGGAGUUUUUCAGUGUCCACGCCGAUGGCUUCCGCAGAUGAAGGGUCGAAAGCAUUUUCUGCAUCAAUAUAGGUGCAAUAACCUGCAAGCAUGCCAAAUCACAGAUAACGAUCAGAUACUCUACUUAGCAAUAAGAAAAGCAUAUCAAGCAUCAAGUGUAAUGAACAACAAAGCAUAAAGAGAAAGUACAGAAUAGCUCUAUGGAAGUACUUCAAAAGAAGAAUACUUUAAUCGGUUGGAUUAAACUUUUUCUUGGUCACUAGCCAGUAUUGUAACAUGUAAGAAAAGAGUCAUCAAAUUAGAACAGUAUUUCCAUUAAAAAGAAUGAGUACUGUUUAGAUAUGCCUGCAAGGAGGCAAUUUUACAUAGUACCGACACGGGUAUGCUAACAAAAAUCAUUACUAAUGCAUGUUGGGUAAAGUAUUAAAAACUGAAGAAAAAAGGAACAAAAACUACAGGAUAUUUCAAUACAAAAACGCUGAAAGGUUGCUAGUAAUCUCAUGUACAGCUAGAUUUCAUGAUAAUCCAAUAUAAAAACUACAGGAAAAACAACAGAAAUAUCGACCUCCACUCUUUUGGGCUUCCUUGACAACAUGAAGUGCAAGUGUUGUCUUCCCAGAUGACUCUUUCCCAAAUAUUUCAACCAUUUUACCCUGUCAAAUAAAUAAAUUCAGUAAUUUGUUGAAAGGGGCAACUAAAUUUAGCUUGGAGUAUACUUAUAAAAUCAUAAAUCUCCUUUUCAAAAAAAAUCAUAAAUCUAAAUAAUUUAUCAUGUGAAUAUAUUGUUCUGAUUUUCUGAAUAUUAUGGAAACGAAUUACAACCUUUGGUAAUCCUCCAAUGCCAAGAGCGAGGUCAAGCUUAAGAGAACCAGUAGGAAUGACAGAUGCACGCCUUGUCCGGGAGAACCGCUCCAAACAUAAAUUAGACUCUCUAUCAAAAUCACCUGCAAGUUGAGAGACUGCAACAUUUAGCGUUGACUCUUUCGCCAGAGAUUUUGUAUCAUCGAGUGGGGGAUGGCUCUCAUAGUCUACCUGCAUAUCAACUGAAAUUUUGUACAGAUGUGAAUACCACGACUCGUAAGGAAGAAAAACAAUGUGGUUAUGGAACAACAAAGACUGCAAUAGUACUAGUAACUUUUGGAGACCUCAUGCUCAUAUCCAUCCAUUAGGAGAAUGGAGAUUUCUAUGGUAAAGACAUCAAACAACAAGAAGAUAUCAGCCGUAAUUGUGGUUGACAUGAAACAGUCUUGUGACCGAAACGGAUAAAACAUAUUGCUUCUUCCAUUCUAUCAAAUCACAGUAAGAAAAAAAAGGUAGCCAGCAUUAUUUGAUAGAUAGAUCAAAGUAUUUUGCAUACGUAUCAUAACACACACAAGCAAGUAAAAAACAAGAGAUUUCAGAGAGAUUGGCAUUUGGACAGAAACGGAGCGCCGAGAGUGGCAGGCGGGGAUGAGCUAGCGAGCACCUGAAGGGGUAAACGGCGGAGAUGGGAUGCUAAGGACGGAGUGAGGCAUCCUGCGGAAGGGCGGCGGCUGCUCGUCGGACCGCGGUGAGGAGGCCCAUGGCGCUGGCGGGGGAAGAGAUCGAGGAGAGGAAGGAGAAGGGUGUCGCAUAACUCUGUCUCCUGCACGGUUCAUACUCGCCAGCCCAGUGGGCCGUGGCGGGGUUAGGCGGCAACUGGGCUCAGCCCGCUUGGUGCCAAUCAUGCUUACUACCCUCCUUAAGAAAUCCGUUGUCUCAAAGAAAGAAAAAGAUCCUACAGAAAUCCAUAGAUUGGUCUUUUUUCUCUCGAGCUUUUUGGUACAAAAAAAAAUCUACGAAAUAUUUUAUUAUAGUUCUUAAUUAUGGGAUUUCAGUUUUCCAUAAUUGUGGAGCUACGUUUUCGAGUUUGAAUAAAGUCACACAUAAUUUGGAAAAAACAAAACUCUUUACAUACAGUGCCAAGAGUUUCACAACAACAGAUAAGGUAGACGGUGUCAGGCAACCGAAUCAGCUGAUUUUCAUUUUGUUCGAUUUGUGCCUUAUCAAUUUGUGCACAGUUGUUUUUCUCCAGCAGAAUCUGCGAUUCGGUUGUCCACAGCGUAGAACAAAAUCAGGAAAACACAACGCAUAUCUCUCGAGCCCUCCUCUGUAAGUACCACGCGAAUCAUACCCAUACACGCAGCUGUAUUGCAUUGCAUCAAAAAAUCAAAUCAAAACAGUUCCACGGGCGACCAGGUCGUCGUGUUGCCACAAGCAAAUAAUUGCAGGUUGAACCGAGGGCGUAUCUUUGACUCCUGAUCGAUCAGCUUGAAUGACCUCUUCAUCUCUAGCUAUAUCAAAAAAAAAAUAAAAAAAAAAUAGUACUCCUUGGGACAAACACUUAGGUUUUGUGCACAGUUUAGGUUUGGUAAUAUAGUAGUACUAGAUCAUGAUAGCGCGCAUUGCAGCGCCCGACCUUAUAGUUGCGAAGGACAGAUGUGAGUGCAAACUAAUAUAAUGACAUAAUGAAUUGCACAUAACCUUAGUUUAUUGCUCCAAAAGUAAAGACAUAUAUACAGUGUAAUAAAUUGUUAUACCAAUUAUAGAAAGAAAAACAAAAAAUCCGAAGCCACAUUGUAAAUCUAUUUUAGGCUGACAAGAUGAACCGUGAACUACCGCACAUUUGCUCCUUGCAAUGUCCUUUUAGUUCUGUGGAUGGAGGUCCUCAAAGGCAUGAUAAAUAAAUGGAAGCAUGUGAAGAAUGAUAAAAGAAAUGGAUCUACUGUAUCUGUACUUCGUUGCAAAUAAGCUGGCCUGAUAGGAAAAGCUAGGUGGAUUAGUUUGUUUGAGUACAAUACUUUCCCACAUUAUAAAUUCAUAGUAAAAUUAUUAUAUUUUCAUCUCCGAAUAACACAACAGCAACAAUAAGAGUUCCAAGUAAACAAGUA